UAGCCAAAUUGGUGGGGCGUCUCAU
rnacentral:piRNA from 1 species